GGGUUUGUUUGUUUUUCUGGCAACACUUGAGCUUGAAAUCUUAAAGUGAUAAAAGUGAGCAGAGUUUCUCCAAGGUUAUCAGCUGAAGAGCUGAAUCUUAAAGCUCUGUUUUAAAAAGCACAUGGACAGAGCUUUCAGAGGGCUGAGUGAACAGGGUACAAAAUAGACCAGUCUUCCCUUGAAUUUCAGAUCAUUGCUGCUUGAUAUUAAAAAGAACUAUUAUGUUUUGGGUCCAUAAUAUAUUAUUAAAAGAUUAGUGAAAGUAUAAGUUACUUCAAUCCAUUCCCUUAGCAGUUUCCUUUAUUUCUUGAUAACGUUAUUUUACUAGACAGAAACACACUUUGGAGAGUAAAACUCUGUAAUCCUUUUUCUUUGUUUUUCAUGGAUCUUAUGUCUUUUCUCAAUAGUUUAAGUAUUUUAGCAGAUUUGAAAGGGUAUGCUUGAAGUUCCUUUUUUAUUCCUGAAAACAUUCAUGCAUGUCUUUCUUCAUCCUUGAAAUGGGAGCUCAGAUUUUUGAGAAAGUCUAAUAAUUGUAACUGGGUCAGUGUACACAGACCACAGAUCACAGUGUAAACAUCCCAAAGGGAUGCUCCAGCUAUCCAGUAGGGGACAUUUAUCCACCUGUCACAGUUAGGUGACUAAUAAGGAGUCCUAGAAUGGAUGAACAAAACUGAGAUGCUUGCACUUGCCAUUUAUUUUUAAAAGUUCUGUUCAUUGAAAUUACGUGAAGCAUCAGUUUUGCAGUUGAGACUCCUGGGAAGAUUACGGGUAAUUUCUUUCCAGUUCUUACAGAUUUUUGGGAUGACUUGAGACAGGCAAUAUAAGUUAAGACACUGAAAGAUAUUUUAACACUUCAGAUUUUCUGUGGAUUUACAUAGGAUUCAAAAGACCUAAACAACUAAGCGGUAUCUCCAAGGAUGUAUUUAGGCUGAUCAGAAAGAUUUAAGCAUGACAGUACGACUGUAAAAACUCAACCAUUAGGAUUAUAUGAGAAGUGAGUGAAUGCCACAUCGUUCACAUGAGAAGGGCAUAAACUCUCAGCUACAUCACUAGCUGUCAUGUUUGCUCCACUGUGGUUCAGGGAAAGCAGCAGCUAUAUGCAGUCUGCUGGAGUGCCAAAGCAGCUCUUUUAGCUGACACAUACACGCUCUUGAAAAUGACACAAAGCAUCAAAUCCUGCUUAAAAACAAGCGAGUGGCAGUCAUCUCUACUUUAAAGAAUUGUUUACAAACUUUUAUCCAGAAACUGGGUCACAUUCUCUCCAACCGAAAGACUUAACAAACCACUUACUUACUUAUCAACCAAAAGAAAAUUCACCUCAAUAUACAUACAGUAGUCUCACUUCCUGCCCUUCCUGUUUAAAGUGAGCCACUGAGUCCAACAGCACGCAUGAUUCAUGCAGAGAGAGGAAGAGGAUAAAUGAAAAGAGCCUGCUUAUAGCCCGCUGCCAGGAAAACCCUAGAAAAGGAGAAGUCCAGAGUUCUGUUCCUUGCUUCGGGGAUGCCAAAUGUAUUUGCAAUACAAGAUUCUUUGGUAAAAUUCUUGAACAAUGUAGUAUGAAGUCUCAGUGUCACUCCAUACUUCAGCUUCCCCUCUGUGGAAAGCAAGAUUUCCCAUCUCCUGUCUGUCAUCCACCCUGACAUUACAGUGACAUUUUCAGAAAGAACAUUUUCAGGGCAAGGACGGCUCUUUGUAAAACCUAUGUGGACAGAGCUCCACUUAAUGAAGCGUGCUGUGCACUGAGGACACCUUGUUUUCAGCAGCAUACACCUCGCCAUGUGCCACCCAAGAACAAAAUCUCCUCCUACACCUUAUAUCUGUCCUAGAAAUAAAAUAAAAGCAGAAACUUCAGACAGUGGUUACCUACCACUUUUAUAGCCCCGCUCCCAGUAAAGCCAUGCAGCGUGGAGGCACAGCUGAUGUGUGCACAGAUGGGCAC
ensembl:lncRNA